CCGCUCAAGCUGCCUCCCUCAUCCCCCGCCGUGGCCUAGCCGGCGCAGCUGAUCAUCAUGGACCUCCAAAGGUUAAUUUUUGGCAAGACCCAAUGAACCCAUCUAAGUGGAAGGAAGAGCACUUUGUAAUUGUCUCUUUAUCUGGCUGGGGUCUACUCUUCUUUGGUGGAUACAAGUUCUUUACGAGAGGCAAAGGCAAGAAGGAAGAG
rnacentral:misc_RNA from 1 species